CAUUACCGAACUGUCGACACGAGUUGUUGCUGGUCCUCGAAAGGGGUCACGUGCACGCUCUGUUUACACAUCCACUCACACCUGUGCACCCUUGUAGUUCUAUGGCCUGGGGACUCUGUCCUCUUGCCGUGGUCCUACGUUUUUACACACACACCGUAACAAAGUAUCAUGGAAUGUAUGCCGCGUCUGACGCAAUACAAUACAACUUUCAUCAACGGAUCUCUUGGCUCUCGCAUCGAUGAAGAACGCAGCGAAAUGCGAUAAGUAAUGUGAAUUGCAGAAUUCAGUGAAUCAUCGAAUCUUUGAACGCACCUUGCGCCCUUUGGCUAUUCCCAAGGGCAUGCCUGUUUGAGUAUCAUGAACACCUCAACUCUCAUGGUUCGCCAUGAUUAGCUUGGACUUUGGGGGUCUUGCUGGCUUAACUGCCAUCUCCUCACAAUUUUCAGCAAGGGUUUUCUUGGUUUUGGUAUGGAGAAAGAAGGAAGGGAAAGCGAAAAAUUAUUGGAAAUUCCAAAAUCCAGGGAUUCAUCGAUUCUUGGACCCCCCCUUGCGCCCUUGGGUAUUUCGGAAGGGCAUGCCUGUUUGAUAUUCAGGACCACCUAAAUUUCCAGGUUUCCCCAGGAGGAGCUUGGACUUUGGGGGUCUGGUGGGCGUAAUUCCCAGUUCUUUUCAAAGGAUUCAGUUUCCCGGUUUUUGGGGGGGCCCCGGGGGGGAAACCUUUUUCCGCUGGGGGCCUUCCAUCAGGUUACCUUCAGUAAUGGAGGUUCACUGGAGCUCACAGACGUCUCUCCUCAGGGAGGACAAGCUUCUUAACGUUUGAUCUC
rnacentral:misc_RNA from 1 species